GAAGCUCUUUUACAUUGUUUGGAAGAUUUGCAAGUCUUUUGACUAAUCAUUUGACUCUAUUGGUGGGCAAGUCUUAG